rnacentral:lncRNA from 1 species
UCACAACCAAGUCUACUUCCGUGGAGGCCAAGGAGACCACUGCGACAAAUCUUGAUCUUCAUUAUUCGAAGCCGCCGAUUGAUUCUGCACAUAGGAUCGGACAUUCUGAGGUAACAUCUAAAGUUGUCAAAUUUAAACUAUUGAAUCUUAAGCACAAUGUGUCAAGUGACUCACAGGAGUAGUCGUGGGUGGCUGAGGCGGAGGGAACAUCAUCGGCGGUGGCGGAGGCAAAGACUGUCCCAUGCUCGAAGCAAAGUUCUGCAUGUACUGGAACAUCUGCUCCAUCCUAAUCCGGUUUUCC